GACGGAGGAUGCAAGCGUUAUCCGGAAUGAUUGGGCGUAAAGCGUCCGCAGGUGGCAGUUCAAGUCUGCUGUCAAAGACCGGGGCUUAACUUCGGAAAGGCAGUGGAAACUGAACAGCUAGAGUAUGGUAGGGGCAGAGGGAAUUCCUGGUGUAGCGGCGAAAUGCGUAGAGAUCAGGAAGAACAUCGGUGGCGAAGGCGGUUCUCUGGGCAUUACCUGACGCUGAGGAGCGAAAGUGUGGGGAGCGAACAGG
rnacentral:rRNA from 1 species